GCACCCGAGUGCCAGUGAAGAAUCCAGGAGAGAACGCAAUCCCUUGUCGCACCCCAGAACCUGUUAACUGAGAGUGGCGACACCACGAUUACUGGCAAAUGCUGGGCGGAAGGAGAGCCUGUGGAAUCUGCAGGGCACCGAGGCAGCUCAGAGCCCUUCCACCCACGGACAGUGCGCUUCGGAGCCGUGCCUGCAUCGAGGGAGAGCUUCUGAAACACGCUGCAGCUGCACCAGGCUCCAGGCUCAUGGACUCAUCAGACAUCGGUUAAAAUUCAGAUUCUGAUUGAGAAGCUCAUAGGUGCACCCUGAGAUCUGCAUUUUUGACACACUCAGAUCCAGGUUCACAGUGAAGAGUAGCAAUAAUAUGCUACCCCAAAAGAUAUCACAUUUGGCACAAGGAUUAUUUUGAGUUGAAAUCAACUGAGAAGAAGCAGAUGUAAGAAAAGCUCCUUGCCCUCCCACUGUAUAUCUGAAAACAGAACAUAAAUUUCAUUUGCUAAGUGUCUUCUUCCCUACUUCCGGUAUCUGGAAAGAGAUAACAACCUUAUCUCCAAAGGCAUGGAGAAAGGGGCUACUUUAAAAAAAACCUUACUAAAUAACCCUUAUCUGCCACUAGUUUCCCUAUGUCUUUGCCUUCCCACAAUCUGCCAACCCUAGAAGAUCAAAGUCCUUUUCCUUUGUCUUGUCUCUUCUCUACAAAAUUCUAAUUCUUUGCUAAGAUGCUAUAUAAGCCCAAGUUCUAACCGCCCCUUUGAUCUACUGCUCACAGAACACUCCUGU